rnacentral:lncRNA from 1 species
UUUGUAGUAGAAUGAAUGCGCUUGGAUCAUAUUAUAACAGUUAAAAAUUACUUGCUCACGCAUGGAGGCUUAAGCAUCGUUUACAGUAGAAUGAAAGUAACACGCCCUUUCUGAAAAGGUUUGAAGGAUGCCCUAAGGAAAACAAUUGAUUUAAUUGGUUGGGUUAAUUUUAGUACGAAGAUAAAUAUCAGACCCUUGGCUAGGUACAUUCAACAAUCCGAAUACUUGGGAGUUG